AUGCUCGCUUUGGCAGCACAUAUACUAAAAUUGGAAUGACACAGAGAAGAAUAGCAUGGCCCCUGCUCAAGGAUGACACACAAAUUUGUGAAGCGGACCAUAUAGAU